rnacentral:rRNA from 1 species
UCAGCAAUGAAGAGUGGCAGACGGGUGAGUAACGCGUGGGAACCUUCCCAGUGGUACGGAAUAGCCCAGGGAAACUUGGGGUAAUACCGUAUAAGCCCUUAGGGGGAAAGAUUUAUCGCCAUUGGAUGGGCCCGCGUCGGAUUAGCUUGUUGGUGAGGUAAAAGCUCACCAAGGCGACGAUCCGUAGCUGGUCUGAGAGGAUGAUCAGCCACACUGGGACUGAGACACGGCCCAGACUCCUACGGGAGGCAGCAGUGGGGAAUAUUGGACAAUGGGCGCAAGCCUGAUCCAGCCAUGCCGCGUGAGUGACGAAGGCCUUAGGGUUGUAAAACUCUUUUGGCGGGGACGAUAAUGACGGUACCCGCAGAAUAAGCUCCGGCUAACUUCGUGCCAGCAGCCGCGGUAAUACGAAGGGAGCUAGCGUUGUUCGGAAUUACUGGGCGUAAAGCGCACGUAGGCGGAUUUGUUAGUCAGGGGUGAAAUCCCGGGGCCCAACCUCGGAACUGCCUUUGAUACUGCAAGUCUGGAGUCCGGAAGAGGUGGGUGGAAUUCCUAGUGUAGAGGUGAAAUUCGUAGAUAUUAGGAAGAACACCGGUGGCGAAGGCGGCCCACUGGUCCGGUACUGACGCUGAGGUGCGAA